CAGCAGCCACGGUAAUACGGAGGGGGCUAGCGUUGUUCGGAAUUACUGGGCGUAAAGCGCACGUAGGCGGCUUGGUAAGUUAGAGGUGAAAGCCCGGAGCUCAACUCCGGAAUUGCCUUUAAGACUGCCGAGCUAGUAGGUGAGAGAGGUAAGUAGAAUUCCGAGUGUAGAGGUGAAAUUCGUAGAUAUUCGGAAGAACACCAGUGGCGAAGGCGGCUUACUGGCUCAUUCUAGACGCUGAGGUGCGAAAGCGUGGGGAGCAAACAGGAUUAGAUACCCCGGUAGUCCCUGUCUCUUAUAC
rnacentral:rRNA from 1 species